GUCUUAACCGGGCGUUAAGUUGCAGGGUAUAGACCCGAAACCCGGUGAUCUAGCCAUGGGCAGGUUGAAGGUUGGGUAACACUAACUGGAGGACCGAACCGACUAAUGUUGAAAAAUUAGCGGAUGACCUGUGGCUGGGGGUGAAAGGCCAAUCAAACCGGGAGAUAGCUGGUUCUCCCCGAAAGCUAUUUAGGUAGCGCCUCGUGAAUUCAUCUCCGGGGGUAGAGCACUGUUUCGGCUAGGGGGCCAUCCCGGCUUACCAACCCGAUGCAAACUGCGAAUACCGGAGAAUGUUAUCACGGGAGACACACGGCGGGUGCUAACGUCCGUCGUGAAGAGGGAAACAACCCAGACCGCCAGCUAAGGUCCCAAAGUCAUGGUUAAGUGGGAAACGAUGUGGGAAGGCCCAGACAGCCAGGAUGUUGGCUUAGAAGCAGCCAUCAUUUAAAGAAAGCGUAAUAGCUCACUGGUCGAGUCGGCCUGCGCGGAAGAUGUAACGGGGCUAAACCAUGCACCGAAGCUGCGGCAGCGACGCUGAUGCGUUGUUGGGUAGGGGAGCGUUCUGUAAGCCUG
rnacentral:rRNA from 1 species